GCCUCAACCAAGGAGACUAUAGAACAGGAGAGGGGGCCUCUAUGGGAGACCGUGGGCGGGUGUUGGUGUAUGUCGGUUGCAACAGAUGGCGCAGGAGCAGCUUUGUUUACAUUCAGGCGCCUCCCCCCCUCCAGACCCACCCCCAACCCCUAGAACCAAUCAGCAGUGUUGCUACAUGGGAUCAAGCAGCAAAUGUUGCUACUUUUUUUCUUCAGUCUGGUUAUUUCCCAUUUUAAAUAAAAAAAAAUAAAGGUAGAUAAAUAUUAAAAUGAACAGUAGGAACUAUAUAUACUGUAUAUAUUUACUAGGUAGAUAUAGCCUGACUGCAUGUCAUGAGUAAUGCUAUUAUUGUUAUAUUAUUAUACCGCAAUUAUAUUACUUUCUCUGCAUGUGUGGUUAGAUGUGUUUUAUGUGUUUAACCUUUCUGUAUACGUACUAGAAUGAAACAAGGAAUUGUAGCCCUACUGCCGUUCUUUAAAACUAUGUGAUCAUGUUUUUUCUUCCAAACUCAUUGUUUUAGCACGCACGCUGACUUCCAUCAGUAAUGAUGAUAUAUAUACACUGAGUCAUUGGUUUGUAGGGGGAAAGAGUGGGUGAAUAUAAUUAUCUCGGUCUAACUUAUACUGUUUAUUAUACGGCUAUUCGCAGCAAUAUCUUUCUCUGCUCCGAUGGCAACGCUGCCUCGUUCAAAAAUCAUAACACCGCCGCGGCCGCCACGUUUACCAGCCGGAGCCUCAAAUCAUGUCCCUUUGUGGUGAUAAAGAGGACACAGCCUGGUGUGAAGCUACAUUUAUUACGGAAGGAUGCCAGCCGGGAUCCGAACACGUCCGAUAUCAUCCAAGAGAAUGUGGCAGCUGAAGGGGGAGAGGCCAAGGGUGAAGACAUUUAGCCACCCCCCCUGAAGUACAUGGCAUCAUUCAACCCUCUUGGUGAGCUGCAGGAAUGUGCUUCCCAUUGCAGUGCACCAGCUCCAUGUACUGAUUUUGGUGUGAACUUGAUGGGGUUGGUGGAAACUCGACUCGGCCAUCAAGCUCACCACAAUA